GAUGAACGCUAGCUACAGGCUUAACACAUGCAAGUCGAGGGGAAACGACAUCGAAAGCUUGCUUUUGAUGGGCGUCGACCGGCGCACGGGUGAGUAACGCGUAUCCAACCUGCCCACCACUUGGGGAUAACCUUGCGAAAGCAAGACUAAUACCCAAUGAUAUCUCUAGAAGACAUCUGAAAGAGAUUAAAGAUUUAUCGGUGAUGGAUGGGGAUGCGUCUGAUUAGCUUGUUGGCGGGGUAACGGCCCACCAAGGCUACGAUCAGUAGGGGUUCUGAGAGGAAGGUCCCCCACAUUGGAGCUGAGACACGGUCCAAACUCCUACGGGAGGCAGCAGUGAGGAAUAUUGGUCAAUGGGCGAGAGCCUGAACCAGCCAAGUAGCGUGCAGGAUGACGGCCCUAUGGGUUGUAAACUGCUUUUAUAAGGGAAUAAAGUGAGCCUCGUGAGGCUUUUUGCAUGUACCUUAUGAAUAAGGACCGGCUAAUUCCGUGCCAGCCGCCGCGGUAA
rnacentral:rRNA from 1 species